UACGUAGGGUGCGAGCGUUGUCCGGAAUUAUUGGGCGUAAAGAGCUCGUAGGCGGUCUGUCGCGUCUGCUGUGAAAACUCGGGGCUUAACCCCGGGCCUGCAGUGGGUACGGGCAGACUAGAGUGCGGUAGGGGAGACUGGAAUUCCUGGUGUAGCGGUGGAAUGCGCAGAUAUCAGGAGGAACACCGGUGGCGAAGGCGGGUCUCUGGGCAGUAACUGACGCUGAGGAGCGAAAGCGUGGGGAGCGAACAGG
rnacentral:rRNA from 1 species